GCACCUGAAAUCAAGUAAGAUGACCCGCUGAACUUA
rnacentral:rRNA from 2 species